UUCCUUCUCAGAACUUCAGGUUGCCAAACAGACUGAUGAAGCAAUUGUAUGAUCCCCAAGGACAACAGUCUGGGAGACAGGGCCUCCCCCAAGCCAGCCAGGGACCUGGGAGCUAGCUAAGGUGGCGCUUGAACCUCAGCAGGGCCAUCGGGUUACCACGUGAUGCUGGGCAUGGGACUGAAUCACUUGAAUGCUCUCAGGUGCUUCUGUUCAAUUUGCCUGAGUCAAAGUACCUCAUCAUUACCCUUCAUACAGCUAUUUCGUGGAAGCACCAGGUCACUUAAAUCACAGUCUCUGAGGGGUCUCCAUGCAACCCUGGAUCGUAUACCAACUCAAAGGGCUGAGUGGGCACAGCCCAUAGAAGGAGGCGGGCCUGCGCUUGAAGGUCUUCAGCAGGACACUCUCUCUGCUGGAAAAGUUACAUUGUAGCAUUUUGAGUUUACAAAAGACUAUGUAUCUAACUAAUGACUACUAUAUUGACAGGCGUUUGGACGUGGCUACAAUGUUGUAGGGAAAACAUGAUGUCUCCAUUGUCUUUGACUUCCAGUAAGCCCCAGGAAAUUGUUAAUCAUUAAGAGGUACCUUACUGGCUUCUAUUCCAAUCUGAAGACAUGAAGCAGAGCUCUGUCUGCAAGUUUCAAAGGUCCAGCAGAGAGUUGUGAACGUGAUGAGAUACAAGCUUGGGAUAGAAGGGAAGGCACCAACAAACUGCUGAUACAUUGUUGCAAAGUCAUAGCUGAGGAACUUGUACUGCGUAGGAAUUUCCCAGUAGAUGGAGCAGACACAGCUGCCUUUGCCUCGCUGAUCCUAGAUCACCGUCAGUAGGAAGGACCUGAGCUCAAGAAGGGUGGAAUGCCUUGUGAGCAUGG
rnacentral:lncRNA from 1 species